AGAGUUUGAUCCUGGCUCAGAAUCAACGCUGGCGGCGCGCUUAACACAUGCAAGUCGAACGAGAAAGGGGAGCAAUCCCUGAGUAAAGUGGCGUACGGGUGAGUAACACGUGGGUAUAUCUGCCUUCUGGUGGGGAAUAACUCUGGGAAACCGGAGCUAAUACCGCAUAAGACCGAGAGGUGAAAGGAGCAAUUCGCCGGAAGAGGAGCCCGCGGCUGAUUAGCUUGUUGGUGGGGUAAAGGCCUACCAAGGCGAUGAUCAGUAGCCGGCCUGAGAGGGCACACGGCCACACUGGCACUGAAACACGGGCCAGACUCCUACGGGAGGCAGCAGUGGGGAAUCUUGCACAAUGGGGGAAACCCUGAUGCAGCGACGCCGCGUGAGUGAUGAAGCCCUUCGGGGUGUAAAGCUCUUUCGGCCCGGAAGACCAUGACGGUACGGGAAGAAGAAGCUGCGGCUAACUACGUGCCAGCAGCCGCGGUAAUACGUAGGCAGCGAGCGUUGUUCGGAGUUACUGGGCGUAAAGCGUGCGUAGGCGGUGGACCAAGUCUGGUGUGAAAUCUCCCGGCUCAACUGGGAGGGUGCGCCGGAAACUGGUUUGCUGGAGUACCGGAGAGGCAGGCGGAAUUCCAGGUGUAGCGGUGAAAUGCGUAGAUAUCUGGGAGGAACACCCGUGGUGCAGACGGCCUGCUGGACGGUGACUGACGCUGAGGCGCGAAAGCGUGGGUAGCAAACAGGAUUAGAUACCCUAGUAGUCC
rnacentral:rRNA from 1 species